UACAGAGGUCUCGAGCGUUAAUCGGAGUCACUGGGCUUAAAGGGUGCGUAGGCGGAUCUUCAAGUAUCUUGUGAAAUCCCACGGCUCAACCGUGGAAUUGCUCGAUAGACUGGAGAUCUUGAGGUUGGUAGGGGUCGCUGGAACUCUAGGUGGAGCGGUGAAAUGCGUAGAUAUCUAGAGGAACGCCGAAGGUGAAGACAAGCGACUGGGCCAAAUCUGACGCUGAGGCACGAAAGCGUGGGGAGCAAACAGG
rnacentral:rRNA from 1 species